UCCUCCUUUUUGAGAUUAUUUUGAUAAUAAAAUGAUAAAUUCAUUAUUUACGGAAAGGUCAGCUAAAUAUUACAGUAUUCCUAUUACAUAUUAUGUUGGGUUUUUUUUAACAGGAUGCUUGUUUUGUUUGUCACUAAUAGACAUCCCCAACCAGUGGCCAUACACAUGGAAAACGAGGCCACAGACUUGGGCUGACAUAUUUAAAAAUCACGGUUUGAUGAAUAUAUUGGGCCAUUUA